UGGAUCCAGACUUUGAUCAUGGCUCAGGAUGAACGCUAGCUACAGGCUUAACACAUGCAAGUCGCGGGGCAGCGUGUCGUCAGCUUGCUGACGAUGGCGGCGACCGGCGCACGGGUGCGUAACGCGUAUCCAACCUUCCCUCUACUCGGGAACAGCCCUCCGAAAGGAGGAUUAAUGCCCGAUGAGGUCCUUCGACGGCAUCCGACGAGGACCAAAGGAGCGAUUCGGUAGGGGAUGGGGAUGCGUCCGAUUAGCUUGACGGCGGGGUAACGGCCCACCGUGGCGACGAUCGGUAGGGGUUCUGAGAGGAAGGUCCCCCACACUGGAACUGAGACACGGUCCAGACUCCUACGGGAGGCAGCAGUGAGGAAUAUUGGUCAAUGGGCGCAAGCCUGAACCAGCCAAGUAGCGUGCAGGACGACGGCCCUAUGGGUUGUAAACUGCUUUUAUGCGGGGAUAAAGUUGGGGACGUGUCCCCAUUUGCAGGUACCGCAUGAAUAAGGACCGGCUAAUUCCGUGCCAGCAGCCGCGGUAAUACGGAAGGUCCGGGCGUUAUCCGGAUUCAUUGGGUUUAAAGGGAGCGUAGGCCGGCCUUUAAGCGUGCCGUGAAAUGUCCCGGCUCAACCGGGGCACUGCGGCGCGAACUGGGGGCCUUGAGUGCGCGGAACGUAUGCGGAAUUCGUGGUGUAGCGGUGAAAUGCUUAGAUAUCACGAAGAACCCCGAUUGCGAAGGCAGCAUACGGCAGCGCUACUGACGCUGAAGCUCGAAGGCGCGGGUAUCGAACAGGAUUAGAUACCCUGGUAGUCCGCGCGGUAAACGAUGGAUGCCCGCUGUCGGCGAUACACGGUCGGCGGCCAAGCGAAAGCGUUAAGCAUCCCACCUGGGGAGUACGCCGGCAACGGUGCAACUCAAAGGAAUUGACGGA
rnacentral:rRNA from 1 species